AUUGAACGCUGGCGGCAGGCCUAACACAUGCAAGUCGAGCGGAGCGGGGGACGGGGGAGUGAUGCCUAGGAAUCUGCCUGGCCGUGGGGGCUGGGGUCAGGUACCGGACGCUAAUACCGCAUCCUAUCAGAUGAGCCUAGGUCGGAUUAGCUAGUUGGGGGGGUAAGGGCUUACCAAGGCGACGAUCCGUAACUGGUCUGAGAGGAUGAUCAGUCACACUGGAACUGAGACACGGUCCAGACUCCUACGGGAGGCAGCAGUGGGGAAUAUUGGACAAUGGGCGAAAGCCUGAUCCAGCCAUGCCGCGUGUGUGAUGAAGGUCUUCGGAUUGUAAAGCACUUUUAGUUGGGAAGCGUUACCUACAGAAUAAGCACCGGCUAACUUCGUGCCAGCAGCCGCGGUAAUUC
rnacentral:rRNA from 1 species